rnacentral:rRNA from 1 species
CAGCAGCCGCGGUAAUACGUAGGGUGCGAGCGUUGCCCGGAUUUAUUGGGCGUAAAGGGCGCGUAGGCGGUCACGCACGUCCGUUGUGAAAUCGCUCGGCUCAACUGGGCGGGGUCAGCGGAUAUGGCGUGGCUGGAGCAAGCUAGGGGGCAAUGGAAUUCCCGGUGUAGUGGUGGAAUGCGUAGAUAUCGGGAGGAACACCAGUGGCGAAGGCGGUUGCCUGGAGCUUUGCUGACGCUGAUGCGCGAAAGCGUGGGGAGCGAUCCGGAUUAGAUACCCGGGUAGUCCACGCCGUAAACGAUGCGGACUAGGUGUCGGGGGUAUCGACCCCCUCGGCGCCGCAGCUAACGCAUUAAGUCCGCCGCCUGGGGACUACGGCCGCAAGGCUAAAACUCAAAGGAAUUGACGG